CCCUGACGAAGCAACGCCGCGUGGAGGAUGAAGGCCUUCGGGUCGUAAACUCCUGUCGACCGGGACGAGAGUAGUCCGACCCAAUACGUCGGGCUAUCGACUGUACCGGUGGAGGAAGCCACGGCUAACUCUGUGCCAGCAGCCGCGGUAAUACAGAGGUGGCAAGCGUUGUUCGGAAUUACUGGGCGUAAAGGGCGCGUAGGCGGUCGGGAAAGUCCUGUGUGAAAUCCCUCGGCUCAACUGAGGAACUGCACAGGAAACUGCUCGACUUGAGUUCGGGAGAGGGAAGCGGAAUUCCGGGUGUAGCGGUGAAAUGCGUAGAUAUCCGGAGGAACACCGGUGGCGAAGGCGGCUUCCUGGACCGACACUGACGCUGAGGCGCGAAAGCUAGGGGAGCAAACGGGAUUAGAUACCCCGGUAGUCCUAGCUGUAAACGAUGAGCGCUGGGUGUAGGGGGUCUUAACCCCCCCUGUGCCGAAGCUAACGCAUUAAGCGCUCCGCCUGGGGAGUACGGUCGCAAGGCUG
rnacentral:rRNA from 1 species